rnacentral:lncRNA from 1 species
AUCCCUUUGAAGAAAACAUUCUGAUAGGUGCCCUUUGAACACAGGUAUGAAAGAAUGCUACAAAGUUCCAAGGGACAUGGGCUCACAAUAACUCAAAACACUUCAAGCCUGAUAGAUUUUAAACACACCCUGAUACUUCGAGUCUCAACAGGACUGCUCAUUCAUAACGGCGGUAAAUGUGGGACGUUUCCUUGGAUCGUAGAAUCAAGGAUAAAUUCUCCCAACUUACUGCCUGCAUUCUUAUUUGAUUUUUUUCAUGUGCAAUCUUUUUUUUCUUUUACAGAGUGCGUUUUAAUUGCUGAACAGCAGGAGAAUGACUUUGGGUCUUUCGGGUGCGCAGACUGGAAAUCCCAGGAUGCCUCACUAUCAGGUGAAAUGUGGAGGUUUCAACUUGGCUCACUCAGGAACUGAGGAAGAGCGGCAUCAGACCCCUGGCCCCGGAUCGAGACUUUCACUCCUCCGAAAUGAGAUAAAUUGUUUUCCAGAACUUAAUAAACAUUUAAUAAAGUUUGGCUUCCCA